CGCUGGCGGCAUGCCUAACACAUGCAAGUCGAGCGAAGUCUUCGGACUUAGUGGCGCACGGGUGCGUAACGCGUGGGAAUCUGCCCUUGGGUACGGAAUAACUCAGAGAAAUUUGUGCUAAUACCGUAUAAUGACUUCGGUCCAAAGAUUUAUCGCCCAAGGAUGAGCCCGCGUAAGAUUAGCUGGUUGGUGGGGUAAAAGCCUACCAAGGCGACGAUCUUUAGCUGGUCUGAGAGGAUGAUCAGCCACACUGGGACUGAGACACGGCCCAGACUCCUACGGGAGGCAGCAGUGGGGAAUAUUGGACAAUGGGCGAAAGCCUGAUCCAGCAAUGCCGCGUGAGUGAUGAAGGCCUUAGGGUUGUAAAGCUCUUUUACCCGGGAUGAUAAUGACAGUACCGGGAGAAUAAGCUCCGGCUAACUCCGUGCCAGCAGCCGCGGUAAUACGGAGGGAGCUAGCGUUGUUCGGAAUUACUGGGCGUAAAGCGCGCGUAGGCGGUUUUUUAAGUCAGAGGUGAAAGCCCAGUGCUCAACACUGGAACUGCCUUUGAAACUGGAAAACUUGAAUCUUGGAGAGGUCAGUGGAAUUCCGAGUGUAGAGGUGAAAUUCGUAGAUAUUCGGAAGAACACCAGUGGCGAAGGCGACUGACUGGACAAGUAUUGACGCUGAGGUGCGAAAGCGUGGGGAGCAAACAGG
rnacentral:rRNA from 1 species